GAUAAACGCUGGCGGCGCACAUAAGACAUGCAAGUCGAACGGACUUAACUCAUUCUUUUAGAUUGAGAGCGGUUAGUGGCGGACUGGUGAGUAACACGUAAGCAACCUGCCUUUCAGAGGGGGAUAACAUUUGGAAACAGAUGCUAAUACCGCAUAAGAUUACAGUACCGCAUGAUACAGUGAUCAAAGGAGCAAUCCGCUGAAAGAUGGGCUCGCGUCCGAUUAGAUAGUUGGUGAGGUAACGGCUCACCAAGUCGACGAUCGGUAGCCGGACUGAGAGGUUGAACGGCCACAUUGGGACUGAGACACGGCCCAG
rnacentral:rRNA from 1 species